rnacentral:rRNA from 1 species
CCUACGGGAGGCAGCAGUGGGGAAUAUUGCACAAUGGGCGAAAGCCUGAUGCAGCGGCGCCGCGUGAGGGACGACGGCCUUCGGGUUGUAAACCUCUUUCAGCAGGGACGAAGCGCAAGUGACGGUACCUGCAGAAGAAGCACCGGCUAACUACGUGCCAGCAGCCGCGGUAAUACGUAGGGUGCAAGCGUUGUCCGGAAUUACUGGGCGUAAAGAGUUCGUAGGCGGUUUGUCACGUCGUUUGUGAAAACUCACAGCUCAACUGUGAGCCUGCAGGCGAUACGGGCAGACUUGAGUACUGCAGGGGAGACUGGAAUUCCUGGUGUAGCGGUGAAAUGCGCAGAUAUCAGGAGGAACACCGGUGGCGAAGGCGGGUCUCUGGGCAGUAACUGACGCUGAGGAACGAAAGCGUGGGUAGCAAACAGGAUUAGAUACCCUGGUAGUCCACGCCGUAAACGGUGGGCGCUAGGUGUGGGUUCCUUCCACGGAAUCCGUGCCGUAGCUAACGCAUUAAGCGCCCGCCUGGGGNGGACGGCGCGAGACGAACUACAAGAGUAGACGCGNGAGAGNGCGACGCGACGACGAGGAGAGG